GAUGAACGCUGGCGGCGUGCUUAACACAUGCAAGUCGAACGAUGAAGCCCAGAUUGCUGGGUGGAUUAGUGGCGAACGGGUGAGUAAGACGUGAGUAACCUGCCCUUAACUCUGGGAUAAGCCUGGGAGACUGGGUCUAAUACCGGAUAGGAGCGUCCACCGCAUGGAGGGUGUUGGAAAGAUUUAUCGGUUUUGGAUGGACUCGCGGCCUAUCAGCUUGUUGGUGAGGUAAUGGCUCACCAAGGCGACGACGGGUAGCCGGCCUGAGAGGGUGACCGGCCACACUGGGACUGAGACACGGCCCAGACUCCUACGGGAGGCAGCAGUGGGGAAUAUUGCACAAUGGGCGCAAGCCUGAUGCAGCGACGCCGCGUGAGGGAUGACGGCCUUCGGGUUGUAAACCUCUUUCAGUAGGGAAGAAGCGAAAGUGACGGUACCUGCAGAAGAAGCACCGGCUAACUACGUG
rnacentral:rRNA from 1 species